rnacentral:rRNA from 1 species
UACGAAGGGGGCUAGCGUUGCUCGGAAUCACUGGGCGUAAAGGGUGCGUAGGCGGGUCUUUAAGUCAGGGGUGAAAUCCUGGAGCUCAACUCCAGAACUGCCUUUGAUACUGAAAAUCUUGAGUCCGGGAGAGGUGAGUGGAACUGCGAGUGUAGAGGUGAAAUUCGUAGAUAUUAGGAAGAACACCGGUGGCGAAGGCGGCCCACUGGUCCGGUACUGACGCUGAGGUGCGAAAGCGUGGGGAGCAAACAGG